rnacentral:rRNA from 1 species
GACGAACGCUGGCGGCGUGCUUAACACAUGCAAGUCGAACGGUGAUGCUCCAGCUUGCUGGAGUGGAUCAGUGGCGAACGGGUGAGUAACACGUGAGCAACCUGCCCCAGACUCUGGAAUAAGCGCUGGAAACGGCGUCUAAUACUGGAUACGAAACUGGCCCGCAUGGGCAUGGUUUGGAAAGUUUUUCGGUUUGGGAUGGGCUCGCGGCCUAUCAGCUUGUUGGUGAGGUAAUGGCUCACCAAGGCGACGACGGGUAGCCGGCCUGAGAGGGCGACCGGCCACACUGGGACUGAGACACGGCCCAGACUCCUACGGGAGGCAGCAUUGGGGAAUAUUGCACAAUGGGCGAAAGCCUGAUGCAGCGACGCCGCGUGAGGGAUGACGGCCUUCGGGUUGUAAACCUCUUUCAGCAGGGAAGAAGCGAAAGUGACGGUACCUGCAGAAGAAGCACCGGCUAACUACGUG